rnacentral:ncRNA from 1 species
GGCGGGAGGGCGGCGAAUACAACACCCUUCGGGGGAAUAAGCCCGCUCAAGCCCUGUUUCUCUUGUGGCAGGUCCCUUGGGUUUCGAACCUCCCGCCACCAGCUC